UCUCUGGGACACCGGAAGCAAUCGUGGGUUUGGUGACGCUGCAUUAGACUGCAAGACAUGAUUCGGACCAUGAAGCACGCGCUCAGGCCAAGUGGUGGGCUUGCUAACUUCGGCUGUGUGUCCGCAGAGCUACUCGGGGUUCUCCUCCUCAGCCUGGCUCUUGCUGGAGCUCAGGCUCUCACACCGUCUCACCACCUGUCCCUGUCUGAUGUGGGACGGCUCCAGAAUCUUCUGAACCAACCGUACGACGACCUGGAGUCCGCAUACUACUCUGUGGUUGGGCUCAUCAAGCUUGGAGCAGCUGUUCCGGAUCCUGCAAAAGUUUGCCAGUUCCUGAAAUCCCAACUGGAUCCCGGUAGUGUUGAUUCGCUGUUCUUUGCUGCUGAAACCAGUAAGGCCAUUUCAGGAUGUGAGAUCCCCGUUGCCAAUGAAACUAGGGACAUCCUCCUGGCGGCGGUCAGCGAGGACUCGACCAUGUCUCAAAUCCACCGGGCAGUGGGUGCUCUCAGCUCCUUGGGGCUCCCGCUCGCUUCACAGGAAGUGGUCAGUGCCCUCACGGCGCGUAUCAACAAGGAGGACAACGUCAUGGCCAUCAUCUCGGCCUUGCAAGCCGCAUCCCGCCUGUCCCAGCAGGCAGAACUGGGAGGAAUCCUGGAGGAGAUUGAGGAUCUGACAGCUCGUCUGGACGACCUAGGAGGCAUGUACCUGCAGUUUGAGGAGGGGCUGGAGGCCACUGCCCUGUUUGUGGCGGCGGCGUACGGCCUGUCGGACCACGUGGAUAUGGAACCGCCUCUCAAAGAGGACCAGGUCAUCCAGCUGGUCAACUCCAUCUUCAGUAAGAAGUCGUGGGAUUCUCUGUCCGAGGCAUUCAGUGUGGCAAGCGCCGCUGCUGCCCUGUCCAACAACCGCUUCCAUGUCCCUGUGGUUGUCAGUGCUCAGGGUCCAGCCACCGUGUCCCACAACCAGCCCACCCUGCAGCUCCUGGUCACUGACGUCAUGUCCCAACCUUUGGCCUCAGCCAGCGUUCUCGUGGAGUCUGCAUAUGCUGUGGCAUCCAAGAGCACCGUUCUCAACCAGGCACCGUUCAUUCAUAACGAUGGCGUCUUUGAACUGAAUUUCAUGUCCAGCCAGCCGGCCAGUGGAUAUUACCAGUUCACAAUUGGUGUGACUGGGGACAGCCGACUAGUAGCCAAUCACAUUGAGCUGAAGGUCAAAGUUUCCACUGAGGUUGCUGUAACUAACAUGGACCUCUCUGUGGUGGACAAGGACCAGAGCAUCGGCACAAAGACCACCAGAGUGCAGUAUCCCUCCAAAGCCAAGAGUUCCUUUACAGCAGACAGCCACCAGAACUUUGCCAUGUCCUUCCAGCUGGUUGACGUCAACAAUGAGCAGGAGCUCACCCCUCACCAGACGUUUGUCCGGCUGCACAAUCAGAAAACCGGCCAGGAGGUCGUAUUCGUCGCUGAACCUGAUAGCAAGAACCUCUACAAGUUCGAGUUGGACACGGCUGAACGGAAAUCAGAGUUCGAUUCCAUGUCUGGUACCUAUUCUCUCUACCUCAUGGUAGGAGAUGCCACCCUGGAGAAUCCCAUCUUGUGGAAUGUGGCUGAUGUCAUCCUUAAGUUUGCAGAAGAAGAAGCUCCAGUCGCUGUUCAGCCAAAGACCCUUUAUGUACCCAAACCAGAGAUUCAGCAUUUGUUCAGGGAGCCGGAAAAGAAGCCUCCAACGGUGGUUUCCAACACCUUCACUGCUCUUGUAUUGUCUCCGCUCCUGCUUCUGCUUAUUCUGUGGUUUAAGCUCGGAGCCAACAUUUCCAACUUCAGCUUUUCUCCAAGCACCAUCCUGUUCCACCUGGGACAUGCGGCCAUGCUGGGUCUGAUGUACGUCUACUGGACCAACCUGAACAUGUUCCAGACUCUGAAGUAUUUGGCAAUCAUUGGCGGCGUAACCUUCCUAGCGGGGAACCGCAUGCUGGCCCAGAAAGCAGUGAAGAGGAUUGCUGCAGAGCAGAGUAGUAGGUUGGCAAAGUAUAGGAGCCUUCGGUAAAGCCCCCCCACACUUUUGUAACAUAAGAGUGGGUUCUGCUUCCAGUCUGAAAAUGGAGAAAAAAUAAGGACAAAAACAUUCAAAGAAGAAGCUGAUGGUCAUUUUGUAAUUUUAUUUUCUUGGUUUGCUACAAAAUCAGACUCUGGAGGAAAAUGGCACGAAUGUUCAGGAAUCCAAUCGACGGUUUUAAACAUGCAGUACGACUGUUGCUUAACAGAAGGGACAGAGACGCCUUGGGACAAACACUGACAGAUUCUCCUGCAGAGGGCGGUAGAGCUUAUGAUCGUUGCACUUUUCUUUUUGUCCAACACAGCAGAGUUUUUUCAGUACAUUUUUUUUGUGGUUUCUUGAUGAAAAUUGGGUUUUGUCCUUUUUUUUUGUACAUUCCUCUUUGUUGAUGCUCUGUGCCCUUUUUCACCUCAGAAAGAAGCUGCUGCUUCUUCUUCUUCCAGAAAUAAUCAACAAUUGGACAUUGCACUGACACCCCAAAAUAGUAUCAACUACUCUGAUGGGUUUGCCUGUGGUACUCUUUUAUUUUCUACAGAAGAUGCUCCCAGGAUGUUGAUGAGAAAAAUUUUUUUUGUAAUGAAGAUGGGGAAAAUAAAGAAGCUGAGGUGAA